UACGGAGGGUGCGAACGUUACUCGGAAUCACUGGGCGUAAAGCGCGCGUAGGCGGUUUGUUAAGUGGGAUGUGAAAUCCCCGGGCUUAACCUGGGAACUGCAUUUGUGACUGCAUCGCUGGAGUGCGGCAGAGGGGGAUGGAAUUCCGCGUGUAGCAGUGAAAUGCGUAGAUAUGCGGAGGAACACCGAUGGCGAAGGCAAUCCCCUGGGCCUGCACUGACGCUCAUGCACGAAAGCGUGGGGAGCGAACGGG
rnacentral:rRNA from 1 species